rnacentral:rRNA from 1 species
AGUACCAUUUGGUAAACAGAUGCUAAUACCGGAUAAAAGACUACUUUCGCAUGAAAGAAGUUUAAAAGGACGGCGUAAGCUGUCGCUAAAGGAUGGACCUGCGAUGCAUUAGCUAGUUGGUAAGGUAACGGCUUACCAAGGCGAUGAUGCAUAGCCGAGUUGAGAGACUGAUCGGCCACAUUGGGACUGAGACACGGCCCAAACUCCUACGGGAGGCAGCAGCU